CCAUCAUUUUCUAUAUAUAAAAAAUUCCUGAACAUCUGCAUUGACACAGACUGCAACAGCAUCUCAGUUGAUUUGAGUGCUCUUUGAGAAACAAUGGCAGUCUGGACGAUUUACCUGUCUUUCUGUCUUCUCUUUGUUCUGGGUGGUUCAGCUUGCCAGGAUGAAUGGACUGCAUAUGGAUAUAGAUGCUUCAAGUUUUUCAACAUCCCAAAGACCUGGGUGGAUGCAGAGAAAAUGUGUUUGGCCUAUGAUGGGAACCUCGCCUCUGUACAUACCCAUAAAGAGUACACUUUAAUACAGAACAUGAUCCCAGUUUCAUCAUCAGCCUGGAUUGGGGGCUACGAUGCUGUUUCAGAGGGAGUAUGGUUCUGGAGUGAUGGAUCCAAAAUGAACUUGCAACUUUGGAACACUGCAGAACCCAAUAACGCCCAAGGUGUUGAGCACUGCAUUGAGAUUGACUAUGGAGAACAAGCUGCUGGAUGACAAUCAGUCAGGCUUCAAAAGUGAACACUCCACCGAGACUGCCCUGCUGUCUGUCACUGAGUAGCUGAGACAGGUGAAAGGUGAAUCCAGAUCAUCCGUCCUGAUCCUGCUGGACCUUUCUGCAGCCUUUGACACAGUCAACCAUCAGAUCAUACUCUCCACCCUCUCUUCGCUGGGCAUCACAGGAACUGUGCUUGACUGGUUUAAUUCCUAUCUCUCAGCCCAAUGACACCACAGUGACUGCUCGAGUCUCUGCCUGCCUUGCAGACAUCUCGGCCUGGAUGAAGGAACACCACCUGCAACUUUACCCAGCCAAGACCGAACUCCUUCUUUCCAGCCAACCCUGCUGUUGAACACAACAUCACCAUGCAGCUGGGUGCAACUACAAUAACGCCUUCCAAAACAGUCAGAAAUCUAAGGGUAACCAUCGAUAACAAACUAAAUUUCAGACCACAUCUCAAAGACCACAAGAUCAUGUAGAUUUACACUCUAAAAUAUCAGGAAGAUAAGACCCUUCCUCUCUGAACAUGCCACACAACUUCUUGUUCAGUCACUUGUCAUAAAUAGACUGGACUACUGUAAUGCUCUCAUUGCAGGCCUCCCUGCAUGUGCAAUUAGACCCCUGCAAAUGAUCCAAAAUGCAGCAACACGUCUGGUCUUUAAUGAACCAAAGACAGUGCUCUGAUGCUGGCAUACAGAACAGUCACUGGGUCUGCUCCAGCAUACCUAAAAUCAUUUCUGCAGAGCUAUGUGCCCACUAGAAGCCUGCAGUCAGCUAAGGAAACUUGUUGUACCAACACAAAGAGGCACCAAAACACUUUCCUGGACUUUUGGCGUCAUCAUACCACGUUGGUGGAAUGACCUUCCCAAAUCCAUCCAUGAAGCUGACUCACUUUCUGUCUUCAAAAAACAGCUAAAAACACAUAUUUUCCAUGAGCACUUAACCAGUCACUAAAAAAAAAAAUAAUAAUUUCUUGUUGAACUUUAAUCUGUUUUGAAUACAACUAUUCUGAUGCUAGUGAAACUUUGUAAUAUGGCACUUUUCGUACCACUGUCUCCUUAAGAUGAUUCGCUUAUGUUUUCCUCUUUUGUAAGUCACUUUGGAUAAAGGUGUCUGCCAAAUGAAUAAAUGUAAAUGUAAAUAAAUAAAUACAAUUAAAAUUCUGAUACAAUUUUUAUAUUUUUAAGAUGUUUCUAAUAAAACACUUUUAAAGACUAGUUCAAACUGACCCCAAAAACAUCAGCAAACAUAGAAAUUCAAAAGAUGUCACUUUGGAUAAAAGCGUCUGCUAAAUGAAUACUUUUUUUAUUGAAUCAGUGUGUUCACCCAAUAUUGCCAUUUGUUGCUAUGUGUUGAACAUGUCCAAUCAGAAUUUGUACACUCUUGUAAUCUUUGAGCAGCUGGAAUGUUUAUCUAAAAAUACCAGCAAACUUUGACAUCGCAAAUCAAGCGUCCCUGCCAAAUUCCAUAGAAACGAACAUCUUGGUGGA